rnacentral:rRNA from 1 species
GGGAAUAUUGCACAAUGGGGGGAACCCUGAUGCAGCGACGCCGCGUGAGUGAAGAAGUAUUUCGGUAUGUAAAGCUCUAUCAGCAGGGAAGAAAAUGACGGUACCUGAAUAAGAAGCCCCGGCUAACUACGUGCCAGCAGCCGCGGUAAUACGUAGGGGGCAAGCGUUAUCCGGAUUUACUGGGUGUAAAGGGGGCGCAGACGGCAGCGCAAGCCAGGAGUGAAAGCCCGGGGCCCAACCCCGGGACUGCUCUUGGAACUGCGCGGCUGGAGUGCAGGAGGGGCAGGCGGAAUUCCUGGUGUAGCGGUGAAAUGCGUAGAUAUCAGGAGGAACACCAGUUGCGAAGGCGGCUCUCUGGACUGUAACUGACACUGAGGCACGAAAGCGUGGGGAGCA